rnacentral:rRNA from 1 species
UACGAAGGGGGGCUAGCGUUGUUCGGAUUUACUGGGCGUAAAGCGCACGUAGGCGGAUCGUUAAGUCGGGGGUGAAAUCCUGGAGCUCAACUCCAGAACUGCCUUCGAUACUGGCGAUCUUGAGUCCGGAAGAGGUGAGUGGAACUCCUAGUGUAGAGGUGGAAUUCGUAGAUAUUCGCAAGAACACCAGUGGCGAAGGCGGCUCACUGGCCCGAUACUGACGCUGAGGCACGAAAGCGUGGGGAGCAAACAGG